UUCUUGCAGUUUUACAUUCGUAUUUGUCUGUAAGUUUCAAUUGUAAAUUGUUUUCAAAUAUUUUGUCAAAUAAAUGAACUUUGUCAGUUAGUUUUUGUUUGAUUGUUUUCAAUUCUGAUAUAUUCAGUGUUGUCCACUUGCUAGUUGUCAUAUAAUUGUUUUCGUUCUCCUCAUUAUGGCAGCACGGCAGAUUACACAAGGAAUGCUGAGACAUGACUUCACAUUAAUACCACAUGGGGAAAAUAUCAUCAUACUAUGUUGAAACUGAACUACAAUAUACUGAUUACAAUAAUGAAUUUAUGCAAUAUGGCAGCACGGCAGAUUACACAAGGAAUGUUGAGACAUGAAUUCACAUUCAUAUCACUUAGGGAAAAUAUCGACAUCCUAUGUUGAAAAUGAACUUCAAGAUACUGAUAAUAAUAAUGGAUUUUUGCAACGUUCAUGUAAUAGUUAUUGAACGUAAUUAAUAGUAAAUGA